rnacentral:rRNA from 1 species
AUGAACGCUGGCGGCGUGCCUAAUACAUGCAAGUCGAGCGAACGGACGAGAAGCUUGCUUCUCUGAUGUUAGCGGCGGACGGGUGAGUAACACGUGGAUAACCUACCUAUAAGACUGGGAUAACUUCGGGAAACCGGAGCUAAUACCGGAUAAUAUUUUGAAACGCAUGGUUCAAAAGUGAAAGACGGUCUUGCUGUCCACUAUAGAUGGAUUCGCGCUGCAUUAGCUAGUUGGUAAGGUAACGGCUUACCAAGGCAACGAUGCAUAGCCGACCUGAGAGGGUGAUCGGCCACACUGGAACUGAGACACGGUCCAGACUCCUACGGGAGGCAGCAGUAGGGAAUCUUCCGCAAUGGGCGAAAGCCUGACGGAGCAACGCCGCGUGAGUGAUGAAGGUCUUCGGAUCGUAAAACUCUGUUAUUAGGGAAGAACAUAUGUGUAAGUAACUGUGCACAUCUUGACGGUACCUAAUCAGAAAGCCACGGCUAACUACGUG